AACGCUGGCGGCGUGCUUAACACAUGCAAGUCGAACGGUAAGGCCUUUCGGGGUACACGAGUGGCGAACGGGUGAGUAACACGUGGGUGAUCUGCCCUGCACUUUGGGAUAAGCCUGGGAAACUGGGUCUAAUACCGAAUAGGACCAUGGACUUCACGGUUUGUGGUGGAAAGCUUUUGCGGUGUGGGAUGGGCCCGCGGCCUAUCAGCUUGUUGGUGGGGUAAUGGGCCUACCAAGGCGACGACGGGUAGCCGGCCUGAGAGGGUGACCGGCCACACUGGGACUGAGAUACGGCCCAGACUCCUACGGGAGGCAGCAGUGGGGAAUAUUGCACAAUGGGCGCAAGCCUGAUGCAGCGACGCCGCGUGAGGGAUGACGGCCUUCGGGUUGUAAACCUCUUUCAGCACAGACGAAGCGCAAGUGACGGUAUGUGCAGAAGAAGGACCGGCCAACUACGUG
rnacentral:rRNA from 1 species